UACGUAGGGGGCAAGCGUUGUCCGGAAUCAUUGGGCGUAAAGAGCGCGUAGGCGGUCCGGUAAGUCCGCUGUGAAAGUCAGGGGCUCAACCCUUGAAUGCCGGUGGAUACUGUCGGGCUAGAGUCCGGAAGAGGCGAGUGGAAUUCCUGGUGUAGCGGUGAAAUGCGCAGAUAUCAGGAGGAACACCGAUGGCGAAGGCAGCUCGCUGGGACGGUACUGACGCUGAGACGCGAAAGCGUGGGGAGCGAACAGG
rnacentral:rRNA from 1 species